GUCGUGAGAUGUUGGGUUAAGUCCCGCAACGAGCGCAACCCUCGUCUUUAGUUGCCAUCAUUAAGUUGGGCACUCUAAAGAAACCGCCGGUGAUAAGCCGGAGGAAGGUGGGGAUGACGUCAAGUCCUCAUGGCCCUUACGCGUUGGGCUACACACGUGCUACAAUGGCAGUGACAAUGGGCUGCAACCUCGCGAGGGGUAGCUAAUCCCAAAAAGCUGUCUCAGUUCGGAUUGCACUCUGCAACUCGAGUGCAUGAAGGCGGAAUCGCUAGUAAUCGCGGAUCAGCAUGCCGCGGUGAAUACGUUCCCAGGCCUUGUACACACCGCCCGUCACACCAUGGGAGUUGGUUUCACCCGAAGGCGCUGCGCUAACCGCAAGGAGGCAGGCGACCACGGUGGGAUUAGCGACUGGGGUGAAGUCGUAACAAGGUAGCCGUAGGGGAACCUGCGGCUGGAUCACCUCCUUUCUAAGGAUCGGAACGAAAGCGCCUGUGCUAGUCGCAGGAAGUGCUUCGCUCCUUUCUAUAGAACAUUGCCGCCGUCCUCAUGUCCCUUCAUCACUGGAUCAGCUCUUCGGAGCGAUCGUCACACUGCUUCGGCGGUGGGCUCGAUCGUGCCGAUGGAGUUGUUACGCCUGAGCUGGCUCACGCCGCCCGCGGCCUUUUGGCCAGCUGGGCGAUGGUUGGGGCCGGUAGCUCAGGUGGUUAGAGCGCACGCCUGAUAAGCGUGAGGUCGUAGGUUCAACUCCUACUCGGCCCACCAUUCUAAUUGGUAGGGGGCCUUAGCUCAGCUGGGAGAGCGGUUGCUUUGCAAGCAUCAGGUCAUCGGUUCGAUCCCGAUAGGCUCCACCAACUUCGAUCCAGAGAUGAAGACAAGAGAUCCGGCUUCGGCCGGCUGCGAGGCGCAAGCCUCGGCUAUUUGACAUUGUGAAUGGGUUCUAGAAAUCGAUGCGGGGAUCGCAUUGGUUCGCACAUCGCCUUCGGGUGAUGGUCGAUCCGUGUGAUCUCAAUUGAUUACUAUGCUGAGAAAAUGAACCACAGCAUCCGCGACGACUUUCGUUGCCGGCCAAAGUUUACUUUGACCGGUGGGCGUCAGCCUUGUCGUUGGUGGUGUGGACUCUCAAGCGUGAGGUAAGGGCAUUUGGUGGAUGCCUUGGCAUGCACAGGCGAUGAAGGACGUGGCACGCUGCGAUAAGCGUCGGUGAGGUGUGAGCAACCUUUGACCCGACGAUUU
rnacentral:sRNA from 1 species